UACAGAGGGGGCAAGCGUUGUUCGGAAUUACUGGGCGUAAAGGGCGCGUAGGCGGCCUGCUAAGUCGAACGGGAAAUCCCUGGGCUCAACCCAGGAACUGCGUCCGAUACUGGUUGGCUUGAAUCCGGGAGAGGGAUGUGGAAUUCCAGGUGUAGCGGUGAAAUGCGUAGAUAUCCGGAGGAACACCGGUGGCGAAGGCGACAUCCUGGACCGGUAUUGACGCUGAGGCGCGAAAGCCAGGGGAGCAAACGGG
rnacentral:rRNA from 1 species